rnacentral:rRNA from 1 species
UACGAAGGGGGCUAGCGUUGUUCGGAAUUACUGGGCGUAAAGGGCGCGUAGGCGGUACUUCAAGUCAGGCGUGAAAGCCCCGGGCUCAACCUGGGAACCGCGCUUGAGACUGGAGAACUAGAGUUCGGGAGAGGAUGGUGGAAUUCCCAGUGUAGAGGUGAAAUUCGUAGAUAUUGGGAAGAACACCGAUGGCGAAGGCAGCCAUCUGGACCGACACUGACGCUGAGGCGCGAAAGCGUGGGGA